UACGAAGGUGGCAAGCGUUGUUCGGAAUCACUGGGCUUAAAGGGCGCGUAGGCGGGCCAGAAAGUGUCUUGUGAAAGCCCACGGCUCAACCGUGGAAGGUCAUUGGAAACUGGGGAACUUGAGUGCAGAAGAGGAGAGUGGAAUUCCAUGUGUAGCGGUGAAAUGCGUAGAUAUAUGGAGGAACACCAGUGGCGAAGGCGACUCUCUGGUCUGUAACUGACGCUGAGGCUCGAAAGCGUGGGGAGCAAACAGGAUUAGA
rnacentral:rRNA from 1 species